rnacentral:rRNA from 1 species
CCUACGGGUGGCAGCAGUGGGGGAUAUUGCACAAUGGGGGAAACCCUGAUGCAGCGACGCCGCGUGUGGGAAGACGGUCCUCUGGAUUGUAAACCACUGUCCCCAGGGACGAAGAUGACGGUACUUGGGGAGGAAGCUCCGGCUAACUACGUGCCAGCAGCCGCGGUAAUACGUAGGGAGCGAGCGUUGUCCGGAAUUACUGGGUGUAAAGGGAGCGUAGGCGGGACUGCAAGUUGGGUGUCAAAUCUACCGGCUCAACCGGUAGCCGCACUCAAAACUGCAGUUCUUGAGUGAAGUAGAGGCAGGCGGAAUGCCUAGUGUAGCGGUGAAAUGCGUAGAUAUUAGGAGGAACACCAGUGGCGAAGGCGGCCUGCUGGGCUUUUACUGACGCUGAGGCUCGAAAGUGUGGGGAGCGAACAGGAUUAGAUACCCGAGUAGUC